AUGGAGGGCGCGAUUCAGGUUGUGACCAUCGUCGGGAAGCUGCUGGGCGAGGAGUACCGGCAAAUCCGAGGCGUCGGCGGCCAGGUGGCUGAGCUCGGCGACGAGCUGGCCACCAUGAACACCAUCCUCCUCAUGAACUCGGAAACUGACGAGGUCUUCAUUGACCACUUCGUCCGGGAGUGGAUGAAGCAGGUACGCGAGCUCGCCUACGAUGUAGAGGAUUGCAUUCAGCUCUACAUCCUCCGCAUCCCCCGGUUCCGGGCACGGCAAAGAGACCGCUUUCUCGUCUGGCCCAAACACAUGGUCAAGACGAUCCUCUCUCGCCGUCGACUGGCUUAUGAGAUCAAGGAACUCCGUGCUCGUGCUGUCGUGAUCAGCGAGCGCCACGCGCGUUAUGGCGUCACCCGCGAGGCGCUGGGCCGCUCUACCUCUCCCUACUUAGCCACCCCCGCGCCGGCGCCGGAGCCAGUGCUGGGUCCUCCCGUCGUUCGGCCGGCUGCAAACCAGUAUGUGGGCAUCACGGAGCAGGCAAACAAACUGGCUGAGAUGGUGAAGGGGCUGACUGGCAAUGAGGGUGGCAUGACGCUCAAGGUGUUCUGCAUCGUGGGGUUCGGUGGAAUCGGGAAGACUACCCUGGCGAGGGAGGUGUGCCUGCAGCUAGAGACGGAGUUCCAACGCCAAGCGCAAGUGUCCGUAUCCCGGGCAUUUGACGGCAUGAGGGAUAUGAAGGGAUUGCUGAAGCGCAUGCUUCAGCAGAUGGUAAAGCAGAAAGCAGAUAACGCGGAAGGCAUCAACAAAGAGGACCCCCUAAAUGGCAUCGACGAGAUGAAUGUAGAGCAGCUCACCUACAAGCUCAUGGAGGUUCUCAGGGACACGAGGUACAUAUACACAAACUAUCUGUUUAUUUGUCUAUCUCUCUAUUAA
rnacentral:rRNA from 1 species